UACGAAGGGGGCUAGCGUUGCUCGGAAUCACUGGGCGUAAAGCGCACGUAGGCGGCUUUUUAAGUCAGGGGUGAAAUCCUGGAGGCUCAACCUCCAGAACUGCCUUUGAUACUGAGAAGCUUGAGUCCGGGAGAGGUGAGUGGAACUGCGAGUGUAGAGGUGAAAUUCGUAGAUAUUCGCAAGAACACCAGUGGCGAAGGCGGCUCACGUGGCCCGGUACUGACGCUGAGGUGCGAAAGCGUGGGAGCAACAGG
rnacentral:rRNA from 1 species